UACGUAGGGUGCAAGCGUUAAUCGGAAUUACUGGGCGUAAAGCGUGCGCAGGCGGUUCUAUAAGACAGAUGUGAAAUCCCCCGGGCUCAACCUGGGAACUGCAUUUGUGACUGUAGAGCUGGAGUACGGCAGAGGGGGAUGGAAUUCCGCGUGUAGCAGUGAAAUGCGUAGAUAUGCGGAGGAACACCGAUGGCGAAGGCAAUCCCCUGGACCUGUACUGACGCUCAUGCACGAAAGCGUGGGGGCAAACGAGGAUAGAUACCCCUGUA
rnacentral:rRNA from 1 species